rnacentral:rRNA from 1 species
AUGGUACUACAAAUACUACUAAUGUCAUGUGGGAGCAUGGUGUUUUUCUUUUUAAAAGGUGUUAAUAUUCAUAUUCCCAUGAAGGAUGAAGAAGAAUCCUUUUGGUUUGAGGGGAACAUGAUGAGACCAAAGCACUCCUCUCUUAUCCAAGCAACCUUUUGCUGCAUCUCGCCAGCCCACAUAGUUUUUACUAUUCGUGUAGAGUUCCUCGUGAUGCGUGCACAUGUGGCCCCUCAUGCUUUUCUGGGGGCACCAGCUCACAACACAACAGACCUAGCUGUUUUUAGCAUCAGCCCCAAUAUGACCUGGUGUGCGUGUCCCAGAAUUUACCUGUUCAGUCACCACAAAUGA